UGCAUCCACUACUGUAAGUUGCUCUUGAUAAGAGUGUCUGCUAAAUGACUAAAA
rfam:Salmo salar isolate Sally breed double haploid chromosome ssa11, whole genome shotgun sequence.